rnacentral:rRNA from 1 species
GAGUUUGAUCAUGGCCUCAGAUUCAACGCCUGGCGGCGUGCCUCACACAUGCAAGUCGAACGAUUGAAGGUCUCUUGCUACCUGAUGCAACGGCCGCACUUGAAAAUGCAUUAAGUCUGCCUGGUUCGGGGGACAUGUCUCCAAAGGGACGCGCUACCGCACCGCCCUCCCGGGAGGGUCGAAUCUUCCCACCUCUCUCUAUUCAUUACCCAUGUCUUAUUACUAGUUGCUGGGGUAAAGCCUAUGGGGCACCGAUCCGCAACCUUCUGAAGGAGAUCAGGCGCCUGGCACUGAGACCUGACCACCUCCUACACUCGGCGCAAUGGGCAUAUUGGACUUGGGCCCUGGCUGAUCCCCCCAUGCCGCGUGUCCGCAGAAAGCCUUCGUUUUUAAAGCACUUUCAUUCGGGAGAAUGGUGAUACUCCCUGUCCGUCCCUCUUUUGCUGCCCCCACCUACAAGCCCCCGCCCCCCCCUGCCAGCAGCCCCGGCAUUCUUAGGAUGCACUCGUCAUUCCGGAUUCCUGGGGCGUA